GCUCCGGUGGUGUAGUCCGGCCAAUCAUAUUGCCCUCUCGAGGCGAUGACCUGGGUUCGAAUCCCGGCCGGAGCA
rfam:halophilic archaeon J07HB67 genomic scaffold scf_7180000098878, whole genome shotgun sequence.